rnacentral:rRNA from 1 species
AUUGAACGCUGGCGGCAGGCCUAACACAUGCAAGUCGAACGAGUGGCGGACGGGGGAGUAAUGUCUGGGAAACUGCCUGAUGGAGGGGGAUAACUACUGGAAACGGUAUCUAAUACCGCAUACCCUACGAUGUGCCCAGUUGGGAUUAUCUAGUUGUUGGGGUAACGGCUCACCAAGGAGACGAUCCCUAGCUGGUCUGAGAGGAUGACCAGACACACUGGAACUGAGACACGGUCCAGAGUCCUAAGGGAGGAAGCAGUGGGGAAUAUUGAACAAUGGGCGCAAGCCUGAUGCAGCCAUGCCGCUUGGAUGAAGAAGGCCUUCGGGUUGUAAAGUACUUUCAGCGGGGAGGCGUUACCCGCAGAAGAAGCAACGGCUAACUCCGUGCCAGCAGCCGCGGUAAUAC